CAGCAGCCACGGUAAUACGAAGGGGGCUAGCGUUGCUCGGAAUCACUGGGCGUAAAGGGUGCGUAGGCGGGUCUUUAAGUCAGGGGUGAAAUCCUGGAGCUCAACCCCAGAACUGCCUUUGGUACUGAAGAUCUUGAGUUCGGGAGAGGUGAGUGGAACUGCGAGUGUAGAGGUGAAAUUCGUAGAUAUUCGCAAGAACACCAGUGGCGAAGGCGGCUCACUGGCCCGAUACUGACGCUGAGGCACGAAAGCGUGGGGAGCAAACAGGAUUAGAUACCCCAGUAGUCCCUGUCUCUUAUAC
rnacentral:rRNA from 1 species